AAACGUAGUCCAACAACGAAAGAGCCCUGAAGCUCAAGCGGAGCCCGCUGGCCGCAGGGGCCGCACCACGCCCCAGACCCUGGAGUUUCCGGGUGCGCAGACCCUUGCCAUCAGCAGAGGCUGCCGCUGCGCGUCCCCUAGGCGCGGAAGAGGCGGCUGGUGGUCCCUGACGGCAAGGUGAAGUCGAGGCAGUAAUCGGGAACCCAGGUUUUAUACAUUACGAAUAAAGCUGGCACGUUUCCAUUUCUCCUGGGCAAAUAUUUAGAAGAAAAGUUGCUGGGUAAUUGAAGCACUGAGACCACAGAGGCAAGAGCUGGGGAAGGAAAACUGCCCAUGAGAUGAGAUGUGCCUCUCAGCUUCCAAAAUCGGGGAGAUGCCCCCCAUGGAAUCCAGCCAUCAUGCUGUGAGGAAUCCAAGCAGCUACAUAGAAAGGCCACAACUAGAUAUUCCAGCUGUAGUCAGCUGAAGCUCCAGCCAACAGCCAACAUCAACCACCACACGUGAAAACGAGCAAGCCUUCAGAUGAUUCCGACUCCCAACCUCCAAGCCACCUCAGCUGAAGCCAAGUAGAGCAGAGACUAGCUGUCCCCCAAUGCUCUAAUAUGCAGAUUCAUAAUUAAAAAGAAUGUUAUUGUUCUAA
rnacentral:lncRNA from 1 species